rnacentral:rRNA from 1 species
GGGGGGGGGGGGGGGGGGGGGGGGGGGGGGGGGGGGGGGGGGGGGGGGCGGGCGGGUGGGGGGGGCUGGAGGGGGGGGCGGGGGGUGGACGGGUGGGGAACCUGCGCUGGGGUGUGGGGUAACGUCGGGGGAAUGGGGGUAAUGCGCGGUCGGAGCGCCGGACGCAUGUUGUGGGGUGGAAAGAUUCGGCGGUGGGGGAUGGCUUCCAGGCGUAUCAGUUUGGUGGUGGGGGAGUGGUUUACCAAGGCAUCGACGGGUAGCCGGCCUGAGAGGGUGACCGGCCACAUUGGGACUGAGAUACGGCCCAGACUCCUACGGGAGGCAGCAGUGGGGAAUAUGGCACAAUGGGCGGAGGUCUGAUGCAGCAACGCCGCGUGCGGGAUGACGGCCUUCGGGUUGUAAACCGCUUUCGCCUGUGACGAAGCGUGAGUGACGGUAAUGGGUAAAGAAGCACCGGCUAACUACGUG